rnacentral:rRNA from 1 species
CCUACGGGAGGCAGCAGUGGGGAAUUUUGGACAAUGGGCCGAAAGCCUGAUCCAGCCAUGCCGCGUGAGUGAAGAAGGCCUUCGGGUUGUAAAGCUCUUUUAGUCGGAAAGAAAGAGUUGCAAUGAAUAAUUGUGAUUUAUGACGGUACCGACAGAAAAAGCACCGGCUAACUUACGUGCCAGCAGCCGCGGUAAUACGUAGGGUGCGAGCGUUAAUCGGAAUUACUGGGCGUAAAGGGUGCGCAGGCGGUCUUGCAAGUCAGAUGUGAAAGCCCCGGGCUUAACCUGGGAAUUGCGUUUGAAACUACAAGGCUAGAGUGCAGCGGAGGGGAGUGGAAUUCCAUGUGUAGCAGUGAAAUGCGUAGAGAUGUGGAAGAACACCGAUGGCGAAGCAGCUCCCUGGGUUGACACUGACGCUCAUGCACGAAAGCGUGGGGAGCAAACAGGAUUAGAUACCCUGGUAGUCCACGCCCUAAACGAUGUCAACUAGUUGUCGGAUCUAAUUAAGGAUUUGGUAACGUAGCUAACGCGUGAAGUUGACCGCCUGGGGAGUACGGUCGCAAGAUUAAAACUCAAAGGAA